AAUUAAAUAAAAACUCAAAUUUUGAUAUUUUUGAAAAAGCACAAUGUUCAAUGAUUUAUUAUUAAUGACUGAUAUAUUGAUCAUUCAUAUUUGCAUUGAUUGUACAUAUUUUAAAAUAGAAGAAGAUGGGACUCUUUGUGUACAUCUGUACUAUAGCCUGUUUACUGAUGUUCGUAACGGACGUGGAAGGGAAUAAAGAGGCUAUCAGAUUCUGCUUUGAAAUUCUUCUGAUGAGGAUGGAUCUGCAAUAUGACCAGUUCUGUGAUGAAUAUGGCGAUAUCUGUGAUAUGCUCUGCGAAUAAUGGAAUAGUGGACCAGUUUUAUGAUAAUAUGUGUCUAUAUGGACUUUUCCUGUGGAAAAAAGAAAAGAAAUAAAAAGACGAAAUACGAAAUUCGUUUGUAUUUAUUCAAAUUUAAUUAAAAUCAGAUCUUCUCUAACCGUUACACUGGA